GUUUUCAACUUGGAACAGUGAACAAAGUUAUAACUACUUGUUUGCUGCUUAGAAUUGUGUUGUUGCCAAAGUACUAUUUAAUGAUAGUUGGUUUAAAGAUGCCCCUGAAGUGUAAAAGCUCUGUCCUUUGAAACAACUAACAUUUCUGAUUCUUCACUUAGGUGUUUUGGAUGGGGUCCAGAAGCACAUUCGGAUUUGCAGGAUACAGCUAACCAUAGUUGACUCCUUCUCUCCAUUGUAGGUUGGAUCCAGCCCAAUGUUAUUUAUUUGAAUAUCUAGAGUGUGAGAGAGUUUGGCCAAUGCCGUUUUUGGUCACAAUGUUCCGAGAGCGGCAUUUUCAGCAGGUUUUUUCUGAUGGUUUAAAACUUGUCCAGUGAAAUCAGAUUUUUAGAUUAACAUUAAAACCUGAAAUGUUGCUGCGAUGCUCUAAUAUUGCAUUACCAGCAUUUCAUGAGUGGACAUCACAUAACGGUACACUUUUGUGUACUGCUUGGUUUUGAGGGUGUCGUUACAUAGGAAAUGUCAGAGAUGCUCUCAAAUUACGUCACCAACAUUUCAAGAUAAAAGGCGUUAAAUUGUCUAUUAUUAAACCUGGCCAAACUCUCUCAUGGCUCUGAUUCAGCCAACUGCUGCCGUAUCGCAAUGCUAACACUAUUUGAUUGGUUUGCAGGUAAAAUGAGAACACGAUUUACUUCUCCCCUUCCCCUUUGAUAAUUCAGUUGAUUUUGCAACAUAGGUUUUCGGGCCUCCAAUACACUUUGGAAGACUUAUGCUUCUUCCACCUACUGCUUUCCCUGUAACACCCCCCCCCCACACACACACACACACACACACACACACACACAACUGUUCGCUCGGUUAAGAGGUGGUGGUGUUGUUGUGGUGGUUGCCGCUCUUAUCCCUUUUCAUCAAGCAGGGGCCCAACCUGGAUCACCUUUGUUUGUUAACCCAGUGGAUGGAGGUUAACGUCUGUGACGACACCCGGGUUCACAGAUCAGACACACUUAAAGCCACUCGCUUCCACUACCCCUCCCGCCCUCCAAGGCAUGCCAGCAAUGCUCGGCAUUCACAUGUUUUGUUGGGAUCAUGAAAAACACACCGCGUUGCUGUUAUAUUGUGUACAAUGUAAUAUUGUCAAGCACUGGCGGAAAUAAUGACUUGAGUUGUUGGGUAAAAGAAGAACAAAUUGUACGUUUGACGUUUGUAUUGGAAGAAAUGUUCAACCGUUUAGAUUGUACCACCUAAAGGUUGUUCAAGAACUGCAAUAUUUGCUUGGAAUCUGUAAAUGCAACAUGUUGGAACAAUUAAAUUAUUUUACUAAAUAUUCAAGCUGCAAUGUACAUUG
ensembl:lncRNA